AGUGAACGCUGGCGGUAGGCCUAACACAUGCAAGUCGAACGGCAGCACAGUAAGAGCUUGCUCUUACGGGUGGCGAGUGGCGGACGGGUGAGGCAUACAUCGGAAUCUACUUUUUCGUGGGGGAUAACGUAGGGAAACUUACGCUAAUACCGCAUACGACCUACGGGUGAAAGCAGGGGAUCUUCGGACCUUGCGCGAUUGAAUGAGCUGAUGUCGGAUUAGCUAGUUGGCGGGGUAAAGGCCCACCAAGGCGACGAUCCGUAGCUGGUCUGAGAGGAUGAUCAGCCACACUGGAACUGAGACACGGUCCAGACUCCUACGGGAGGCAGCAGUGGGGAAUAUUGGACAAUGGGCGCAAGCCUGAUCCAGCCAUACCGCGUGGGUGAAGAAGGCCUUCGGGUUGUAAAGCCCUUUUGUUGGGAAAGAAAAGCAGCAGGUUAAUACCCCGCUGUUCUGACGGUACCCAAAGAAUAAGCACCGGCUAACUUCGUG
rnacentral:rRNA from 1 species